AAGAAAGAAACUAGAAGAGAAUAAAGAUAUAAUAAGAGAAGAGAAGAGAAGAGAAGAGAGAGACAAGCUCGGAUAUAUUUAAUCGACAAAUUAAUCGAACAAAUUCGAAUGGCUUGGCUCGAGAAAAGAAGGAUGGAAAGCGCGAAGAAGGAAGAAAGCGUUAAAGGAGAGAGAGAGAGAGAGAAAAUAAAUCAAGAGGAAUGAGAAAGUACGAGAAAGGGAGAAUCAUUUAAAAAAAGAGCGGAUAAAAUAUUAACGCGAGAAAGGGAGGGAGAGAAAGAAGAGAGUGGAAGAGAGAAUGAGAGACACCGAGCACCUGAUUAAAAGAGUAAUUAAUUAAUUUUAUACUUUUUCGUGUAUGUGUGUGUGUGUGUGUGUGUGUGUGCGCGCGCGAAUGUUUUACGUAUUUGGCUUUUGGGACGAGAGGUGCAGGAGUAAUAAGGUAAAGGAGAAAGGGUAUUGGACGAGAGAUAAGGGAGAAUGAUCGACAAGGGUAUAUAUAAAAUUACAAAAGUGAAAAAUUAGAGAAGAAAAUGGAAAACGGAAUGAGAGAGAGAGAGAGAGAGAGAGAUACGAUCAUUCAACAGUAUUAUUCGACGAGUAAGAUCGUCGUUUUAAAGGAAACAACAAUUCCUCCUCGUUUCUCCCUUCCCCUCUUUUUUUGUCCUCUCGAGAGCCCGGAUCGACAUCGCCCGACGAUCUUCCUCCACACCGACCCUAAUUUCCCGAGCUUGCUUUAACUCUCCACGGGAUUACGGCUACGCGGAACCGGCCGCUCGUCGUCGAUCUCGAAUCGCGGAUUGACGAACGUCCGUCACCCGCAUUCGAGUCGUUCCGCUAACGAUCCGUUCCUUCCGUGAACGCUUCACUUUCCAAGAUCAGAUUCACCCCUCGCGCGGCGUAGAAAGAGAGAAAGAGAGAGGGGGGGGGGAGGGAGGGAAGAGUCGUCGUCUCUCUGCAUUCUUCGGUACUUGGAAGGAAUAUUGGCGAUGGAGCGAUGGCCCAUAGGGUGGGAUUCACCAUCGUAUAAGGAAGCGAAGGAAGAAGGAAGAUGUAUUGGAUGUUGGAGAUUUUUAUGAGUUUUAUUGCGAGAUAAUAUUGGUUGAGGUUUUAUUGCGAAAAAUUGAGUCAUAACUUUUUAGGAUUUAAUUUUUUUUUUUUUUUUUUUAGUUGGAACGAGUCGUCUCGAUUAUCUCGUAUAAAGUGUUAUUUAUUGGCGAGCGUUUGGUAUUAUUUUUUUUUUUUUCUUUUGGAGUGGAUCGUUGGAAUCGUUGUUGACUUUCUGCAAGUGAUAAGGAUAUAUAUAAUUUAUUCAUUAGAUUAUAACAAUGCUUUGAAUAUUUUCGCAUUGUUAUAUUUUUUAAAGUUGUUUAAAAGGGGGUUUUAAAUUCUAUUUAUCGAUUCAUUUAGAGAUCUUAGAGGCAGGAACGACUUUAAGAAUAAAGUAUAUGUUAUCAUUAAUUUCAUAAUCGGUUCCAAAUAGCCGUAAUCUCUCGAUGCGUAAUCCCUGCUCCACCUUGAACCUUCUUUCGUUCGAAGAAUCAACUUCCAACUUGUAAUACCGUCACGAUUUCAGAGGGAAUAGGAAAAGUAGAAGAAGGGAGAAUUUCGGACGACUCGUCGGAUGUCGUAGUUCCAUUAGCGACUGUUCUAGAACGUUCAGAGAGAUAUUCACGCUUGAUGUAUUUUCUGAAAAAUGUAUCAUCACACGUGGAAAUAUCUUCGUUUUUGGGGCAUGUAUUCGUGUACGAGCGACACGAUAGAUCAAAAAAUAUUUGUGAAUAUUUAUAUUUCGUUGAACGUAGUACAAUCGAAGAAUCAUGUUCCAAAGAUAUAUUCUACAACUGUAUGCUCGACAUUUAUAUAUACGUUUUUAAACAACAUUCGUUUCAACAAAUGUUAAUGAAAAAAAUAUCCAUACUCGAAGUAUAUACAUAUGUAUAUAUAUUGCUGGUGAAGUAACUGACAUAACUGCGAAUAUUGAUUGAUUUUUCAGCGAACGAAGAAACAUAGCAUUCAUCGAUUUUGAUAUUCAAAUUUUGCGUACAGAUAUAGAGAACUCGAAAAUAUAAAAGAUAUACAUAUUUUCUUUUCUUGCCGUUACGUAUUCAAGAGAUGAAAUUAAAUAUCUGAUUUUUUUCAUCGACAAUAAGAUCGAAUUUCAAUUUUGCAGUUGUGCUUUACAUUCGUAUACAUCAAAUAUUUAAAAGAGUAUCGAUAUUUAAAAGAAAGAAAGAAAAAAAAAAAAAAA